rnacentral:rRNA from 1 species
UACGUAGGGUGCAAGCGUUGUCCGGAAUUAUUGGGCGUAAAGAGCUCGUAGGCGGUUUGUUGCGUCGGCUGUGAAAUCCCGAGGCUCAACCUCGGGUCUGCAGUCGAUACGAGCAAACUAGAGUGUUGCAGGGGAGACUGGAAUUCCUGGUGUAGUGGUGAAAUGCGUAGAUAUCCGGAGGAACACCAGUGGCGAAAGCGGCCACCUGGACUGUACCUGACGCUCAAACGCGAAAGCUAGGGGAGCGAACGGG